rnacentral:lncRNA from 1 species
UUAUGGUGGUGUUCAAUAUUUAUUUUGGGUAAAAUUGUAGUUCUAGACAGUUUUACCCUUUGCGCAUUUCAUAUUCUUUUUUGCAUGAUUGGUUGUUGCGGGGUGUAUAGUAGUGACCCUAAAGUGGUAAAUUCCCAUCUCUUAUUAUUUACGGGUUGCGGGUCCACUCUAGUGUAUUAGCUUAUCCCGUUUAAAUUCUAACAUUAUCG